rnacentral:rRNA from 1 species
AGAGUUUGAUCCUGGCUCAGAUUGAACGCUGGCGGCAGGCCUAACACAUGCAAGUCGAACGGUAACAGGAAGAAGCUUGCUUCUUUGCUGACGAGUGGCGGACGGGUGAGUAAUGUCUGGGAAACUGCCUGAUGGAGGGGGAUAACUACUGGAAACGGUAGCUAAUACCGCAUAACGUCGCAAGACCAAAGAGGGGGACCUUCGGGCCUCUUGCCAUCGGAUGUGCCCAGAUGGGAUUAGCUUGUUGGUGGGGUAACGGCUCACCAAGGCGACGAUCCCUAGCUGGUCUGAGAGGAUGACCAGCCACACUGGAACUGAGACACGGUCCAAACUCCUACGGGAGGCUGCAGUGGGGAAUAUUGCACAAUGGGCGCAAGCCUGAUGCAGCCAUGCCGCGUGUAUGAAGAAGGCCUUCGGGUUGUAAAGUACUUUCAGCGGGGAGGAAGGGAGUAAAGUUAAUACCUUUGCUCAUUGACGUUACCCGCAGAAGAAGCACCGGCUAACUCCGUGCCAGCAGCCGCGGUAAUACGUAGGUCCCGAGCGUUAUCCGGAUUUAUUGGGCGUAAAGCGAGCGCAGGCGGUCUGUCAAGUCGGAUGUGAAAUCCCCGGGCUUAACCUGGGAACUGCAUUCGAAACUGGCAGGCUAGAGUCUUGUAGAGGGGGGUAGAAUUCCAGGUGUAGCGGUGAAAUGCGUAGAGAUCUGGAGGAAUACCGGUGGCGAAGGCGGCCCCCUGGACAAAGACUGACGCUCAGGUGCGAAAGCGUGGGGAGCAAACAGGAUUAGAUACCCUGGUAGUCCACGCCGUAAACGAUGUCGAUUUGGAGGUUGUGCCCUUGAGGCGUGGCUUCCGGAGCUAACGCAUUAAGCAUUCCGCCUGGGGAGUACGACCGCAAGGUUGAAACUCAAAGGAAUUGACGGGGGCCCGCACAAGCGGUGGAGUAUGUGGUUUAAUUCGACGCAACGCGAAGAACCUUACCAGGUCUUGACAUCCCGAUGCCAUUUCUAGAGAUAGGAAGUUACUUCGGUACAUCGGUGACAGGUGGUGCAUGGUUGUCGUCAGCUCGUGCUGUGAGAUGUUGGGUUAAGUCCCGCAACGAGCGCAACCCCUAUUGUUAGUUGCCAUCAUUAAGUUGGGCACUCUAGCGAGACUGCCGGUAAUAAACCGGAGGAAGGUGGGGAUGACGUCAAAUCAUCAUGCCCCUUAUGACCUGGGCUACACACGUGCUACAAUGGUUGGUACAACGAGUCGCGAGUCGGUGACGGCAAGCAAAUCUCUUAAAGCCAAUCUCAGUUCGGAUUGUAGGCUGCAACUCGCCUACAUGAAGUCGGAAUCGCUAGUAAUCGCGGAUCAGCACGCCGCGGUGAAUACGAUCCCGGGCCUUGCACUCACCGCCCGUCA